rnacentral:rRNA from 1 species
CUGAUCCUACGGGGGGCAGCAGUGGGGAAUAUUGCACAAUGGGGGAAACCCUGAUGCAGCAACGCCGCGUGAGUGAUGACGGCUUUCGGGUUGUAAACCUCUGUCUUCAGGGACGAUAAUGACGGUAUCUGAGGAGGAAGCCACGGCUAACUACGUGCCAGCAGCCGCGGUAAUACGUAGGCGGCGAGCGUUGUCCGGAUUUACUGGGCGUAAAGGGAGCGUAGGCGGACUUUUAAGUGAGAUGUGAAAUACUCGGGCUCAACUUGAGUGCUGCAUUUCAAACUGGAAGUCUAGAGUGCAGGAGA